rnacentral:rRNA from 1 species
AUGGGUGCACCAACACGACUACGUCGGUAUAUCAUCCAACCUCUCGUCAGGUCAGGGCUCGCCUCAAUCCUGCGCCGCCCGGUCUCUUCUCUCCGACCAAACCCUAUGGAGCCGCCGCGCCGCACCAAGCACCCCGCGGGUAACGGCGGCGACGACGCCAACGCCAAGGCCGCCGCCGAAGCACGACGCUACUACCGCGAUGACGAUCUCGAUGGCUUCUCGUAUGGCAGCGGCGGCGGCACCGGGUUCCUGGACGAGAGCGGCAGCUACGUGGAGCGCGCGGCGCGGGGCGGCACCAAGGAGGAGGCCUGGCUGGGCGCGAACGACGUCGACGGCGAGUCCCCCUGCCCCGCCGCCACGAAGCACGCGAGGAAGGUCCUGGUGAGGCAGGAGGAGGACGAGCGGAUCCUCGAGGGCGUCGUCGGCUCCCGCGCCAUUUUCCACAUCAAGAAGCGGAUCGCCGGCCUCCUCCAGCCCGGCGAGACGGUCCCGGGCGCGCUGCGGAGGCUCAAGGGAGACAAAUGUGGCGGGGGGAAGGGGAUGGGCGAGGCGGCGCGGUGCGCGUUCGACGAGCUGAUGGACGCCGCCGCGGACCUCGUGCGGCGCGGCGACCUCGACGCGUAA